ACACUCCUGCGGGAGGCAGCAGUGGGGAAUAUUGGACAAUGGGCGCAAGCCUGAUCCAGCCAUGCCGCGUGAGUGAUGAAGGCCCUAGGGUUGUAAAGCUCUUUCACCGGUGAAGAUAAUGACGGUAACCGGAGAAGAAGCCCCGGCUAACUUCGUGCCAGCAGCCGCGGUAAUACGAAGGGGGCUAGCGUUGUUCGGAUUUACUGGGCGUAAAGCGCACGUAGGCGGACUAUUAAGUCAGGGGUGGAAUCCCGGGGCUCAACCCCGGAACUGCCUUUGAUACUGGUAGUCUUGAGUUCGAGAGAGGUGAGUGGAAUUCCGAGUGUAGAGGUGAAAUUCGUAGAUAUUCGGAGGAACACCAGUGGCGAAGGCGGCUCACUGGCUCGAUACUGACGCUGAGGUGCGAAAGCGUGGGGAGCAAACAGGAUUAGAUACCCCAGUAGUCCCAUGA
rnacentral:rRNA from 1 species